UGGGGAAUAUUGGACAAUGGAGGGAACUCUGAUCCAGCAAUUCUGUGUGUGUGAAGAAGGUUUUAGGACUGUAAAACACUUUUAGUAGGGAAGAAAAAAAUGACGGUACCUACAGAAGAAGCAACGGCUAAAUACGUGCCAGCAGCCGCGGUAAUACGUAUGUUGCGAGCGUUAUCCGGAAUUAUUGGGCUUAAAGGGCAUCUAGGCGGUAAGACAAGUUGAAGGUGAAAACCUGUGGCUCAACCAUAGGCUUGCCUACAAAACUGUUGAACUAGAGUACUGGAAAGGUGGGUGGAACUACACGAGUAGAGGUGAAAUUCGUAGAUAUGUGUAGGAAUGCCGAUGAUGAAGAUAACUCACUGGACGGAAACUGACGCUGAAGUGCGAAAGCUAGGGGAGCAAACAGG
rnacentral:rRNA from 1 species